rnacentral:rRNA from 1 species
UACGUAGGGUGCGAGCGUUAAUCGGAAUUACUGGGCGUAAAGUGUGCGCAGGCGGCCGAGCAAGUCGAGUGUGAAAGCCCCGAGCUUAACUUGGGAAUUGCGCUCGAAACUACUUGGCUGGAGUGUGGCAGAGGAAGGUGGAAUUCCAGGUGUAGCGGUGAAAUGCGUAGAGAUCUGGAGGAACACCGAUGGCGAAGGCAGCCUUCUGGGCCAACACUGACCGCUCAUGCACGAAAGCGUGGGGAGCAAACAGG